UACGUAGGCAGCAAGCGUUGUUCGGAGUUACUGGGCGUAAAGGGUGCGUAGGCGGUCCUAUAAGUAUGGUGUGAAAUCUCCCGGCUUAACUGGGAGGGUGCGCUAUAGACUGUGGGACUAGAGUGUGGGAGAGGAAAGUGGAAUUCCUGGUGUAGCGGUGAAAUGCGUAGAUAUCAGGAGGAACACCGGUGGUGUAAACGGCUUUCUGGACCAUAACUGACGCUGAGGCACGAAAGCGUGGGUAGCGAACGGG
rnacentral:rRNA from 1 species